UAGGGAAUAUUGCACAAUGGGCGAAAGCCUGAUGCAGCAACGCCGCGUGCGCGAUGAAGGUCUUCGGAUCGUAAAGCGCUUUUCUGGGAGAUGAGAAAGGACAGUAUCCCAGGAAUAAGUCUCGGCUAACUACGUGCCAGCAGCCGCGGUAACACGUAGGAGGCGAGCGUUAUCCGGAUUCACUGGGCGUAAAGCGCGUGCAGGCGGUUCGGUAAGUUGGGCGUGAAAUCUCCCGGCUCAACUGGGAGAG
rnacentral:rRNA from 1 species